UAGUUAUUUUUCUUUAUUAUUUUUUGAGUAGGAAUCUCACUGUGUUGUCCAGGUUGAAGUACAGUGGCAUGGUCACAUCAUGGCUACUGCAGCCUCAACCCGCUGGGCUCAAACAA
rnacentral:snoRNA from 1 species